rnacentral:rRNA from 1 species
CACGUAGGGACCAAGCGUUGUCCGGAUUUAUUGGGCGUAAAGAGCGCGCAGGCGGUCGGCCAAGUCGAGUGUGAAAGCCCCCGGCUCAACUGGGGAGGGUCAUUCGAUACUGGUCGACUCGAAGGCAGGAGAGGGAAGCGGAAUUCCCGGUGUAGUGGUGAAAUGCGUAGAUAUCGGGAGGAACACCAGUGGCGAAGGCGGCUUCCUGGCCUGUUCUUGACGCUGAGGCGCGAAAGCUAGGGGAGCAAACGGG